UGGGGAAUAUUGGACAAUGGGCGCAAGCCUGAUCCAGCCAUGCCGCGUGAGUUAUGAAGGCCCUAUGGUUGUAAAUCUCUUUCACCGGUGAAGAUAAUGACGGUAACCGGAGAAGAAGCUCCGGCUAACUUCGUGCCAGCAGCCGCGGUAAUACGAAGGGGGCUAGCGUUGUUCGGAUUUACUGGGCGUAAAGCGCACGUAGGCGGACUAUUAAGUCAGGGGUGAAAUCCCGGGGCUCAACCCCGGAACUGCCUUUGAUACUGGUAGUCUUGAGUUCGAGAGAGGUGAGUGGAAUUCCGAGUGUAGAGGUGAAAUUCGUAGAUAUUCGGAGGAACACCAGUGGCGAAGGCGGCUCACUGGCUCGAUACUGACGCUGAGGUGCGAAAGCGUGGGGAGCAAACAGG
rnacentral:rRNA from 1 species